UUUGUCUGGAGUACCUCGACGUUAUUCCGAUUACCCAGACGCAUAUACAGCCUGAAACACAAUUUCCUCAAUG